GAUAACCAACGAAUGGACUCUUUCCAUUUUUUGGGGUUCCAAAACCCUUUCCGGCUUCCUCCUUAGUCUCCGGUAUGCAGACCGCGGGUAACUUCCCUUUGGGACCGCGCGAAGAAACACUUUGGGGGAGGAGCAGGAGGAUUCUGUCCGAAAGCAGCCGAAGGGGGAACAAAACAAAAAAAAGGCACCGACCAAACCGACUGCCGACGUAAGCGCCGCCCGCUCGUCUCGUUCUGGGCCUCAUGAAGGGUCUCUCAGCGAGGCCUCGAGCGGAGAAGAACACGGCCGUCGCACCGUAAAAAGGGGGCCGCGUCGUAGGCCACGCAACGUCGGAUGGGGAGGACCCACGCUUUUUUUUAAUUGUUGGCUUUUCAUUUUGGUCGGACGGGCGAUAUAUUGGCCAGCCGUCGUCACACGGAGGGUACCAAUCGAGAAUCUUCUCCUCCAAACACCACACUAUCAAAAACAAAGCCGCCGCCCUCGGCUCGGACGAGACGACCCGCAUUCAAUGAGUCAUAUGGAUCCCAAUC
rnacentral:rRNA from 1 species